UACGUAGGGGGCAAGCGUUGUCCGGAAUUAUUGGGCGUAAAGGGCGCGUAGGCGGCUUGGCAAGUGGAAGGUGAAAUCCCUCGGCUUAACCGAGGAACUGCCCUCCAAACUGUUUGGCUUGAGACCGGGAGAGGUGAGUGGAAUUCCCAGUGUAGCGGUGAAAUGCGUAGAGAUCGGAAGGAACGCCAGUGGUGAAGACGACUACCUGGACCGAUACUGACACUGAGGCGCGAAAGCGUGGGGAUCAAACAGG
rnacentral:rRNA from 1 species